AAAACGGGGAGCUUGCAUGAGCAGGCUGAGAUCGGACUGGUCAGUCCAGACCCAUAUAACCUGAUUUGGAUAAUGCCAACGUAGGGAUAUA
rnacentral:ncRNA from 1 species